GUCAGCUAGCCAACGGGAACAGGAAAAACAGGAAGAAGGGAAACAGUAGGAAGGCUGGGAGUGUUUCGGGAUGGGUGCGAAAGAACGGGAAGGGCAAUGGGAUACGAACGAGAGAAAGUUUACUAGCCAACGGACCAGGGCAACGGGAACAGGAAGAACAGGAAGAAAGGAAACAGUAGGAAGGCUGGGAGUGUUUCGGGAUGGGUGCGAAAGAACGGGAAGGGCAAUGGGAUACGAACGAGAGAAACAGUUUACUAGCCAACGGACCAGGGCAACGGGAACAAGAAGAACAGGAAGAAGGGAAACAGUAGGAAGGCUGGGAGUCGUGUGUCGGGAUGGGCGCGAAGAGAGCAGAAGUAGGCAACGGGUAGGAACGAGAGGAACGGGAACGGGAAGAAUAGAAAGAACGGAAACAGUAGGAAGGCCAGUUGUCUUUCGAGAUGGGUGCAAAAGAACGGAAAGAACGGGAAAAUCAUAACGGAAGCGGGAAACGGAUAGGCUACAGUGGGAUACGAAACAGAGGAACAGGGGGAGUUUACUAUAGCCAGCGUACCCAUGGAGUGAGGGGAGAUAAAAGGAAAUGGAGAGGCAGGAAGAACGGUUCGGAUUAGGGUAGGGUGAGGUGGGGUCAGGAGGUCAGGUAAUAUCAACGGAUCUAUCACUUAAGAUCCUCCCUGUUGAUGCUCUUGUAAUCGAUCGGUAGCCUAUUAUGGCGUGGAGAUGGGAUGAUUAGCCCGUGAGUUCUGUAGUUCCAUAUUUUCCGGGUCUGGAUUUUACCUUUUGUGCCCACGGAAAGAGAAGGUUUGGGCGGUCAGGCGUGGGCACUGCAUAGAGGGGGGACGUGGGCACUGUGGGGGGUGGUGUGGGGAGGGGGACGGUUCUGCAGGUCUGGAGAAAGUUAAGCUUCCCACAUUCUCCCCCCCUCCUCUGACGUGCCCCGCGGCUCUCGACACGGCGCUGCAUUUGGUCAAUAAACCUUGUAACACGAUUCGUUGGUUUUGAUGGACGUAUAUUAUUAAAACAGGAGGUAUCAUGGCGGUAGAACAUGCACGCGGCGAGGUAGCGAUGACGGAGCGAGCGAACAAUGUUUAGUUCCGUCUUUGGGGUGUGUGAAUAAAAUAAUUUCGUGUCCCCAAGUGAUUCGACACGCAGCGGCACGCGGUACACCAUUUCUACUUCUUGCUUCAUUGACCCACGCUUCGAGACCUUCAUUGAACCACUCACCACCUGUAAACUACACGAACAAGGAUAAGAAGAAUGGGAAGGCCCUAGGACAGUCCCAUCCCGCCAGGAACGAGAGCAGGAAGGCUUUUCACGGCUACCGAGGAUGUGCGUGCGUGUGUGUCUGUGUGGUGGAAGAAAAAGAAAGGAAACAGAGAUGGACGUGAGACAGGCCGUAGCGGUGACUGUCUGUAUUGUGUGUUCAGCGUGUGGGAAGAUAACGACCACCAAGAUCCUGCUGGAGACGUGGACAGCGAAAGUAAGCAAAGAGGAAACUAUGUCAAAAAACGGUGCUGGAAAUUUCAACGCAGCCAUAAGUAGCAAUCCACGCCAAGAAGCCCAUCACCUCCUCGCCUCUACACGGCAGCCUCGCAUAAAGAUUGUUUCAUAAUGUAGAAUUUUCUUCGUCACGCCGCCUCGCUCAAGUCGGAGAAAGCAGGAUACUCUUCCCACGCGUGCCUCGGGCGGAUCAGGAUCAGCAGGAUGGAAGGAGUACGCUUGAAAGGGAAAACUGCAGCCUUGGAGGGGCCUGGGACGGAGUGAGGACUAGACAGGAACGAGGAAAUGGAGAGCAAAAACAUAUUCAGUAAUUGCUUUCUUUGUGGAUAAUUGCGUCAGCUUACUUAAUUGCUUGUUUAUGUGGUUUAAUUAUAUACCACGUGUCUUGAUUGAUUGAUUGAUUGAUUGAUAGUUUAUUGUUG